rnacentral:rRNA from 1 species
GACGAACGCUGGCGGCGUGCUUAACACAUGCAAGUCGAACGGAAAGGCCCUGCUUUCGUGGGGUGCUCGAGUGGCGAAAGGGUGAGUAACACGUGAGUAACCUGCCCUUGACUUUGGGAUAACUUCAGGAAACUGGGGCUAAUACCGGAUAGGAGCUCCUGCUGCAUGGUGGGGGUUGGAAAGUUUCGGCGGUUGGGGAUGGACUCGCGGCUCAUCAGCUUGUUGGUGGAGUAGUGGCUUACCAAGGCUUUGACGGGUAGCCGGCCUGAGAGGGUGACCGGCCACAUUGGGACUGAGAUACGGCCCAGACUCCUACGGGAGGCAGCAGUGGGGAAUAUUGCACAAUGGGCGGAAGCCUGAUGCAGCAACGCCGCGUGCGGGAUGACGGCCUUCGGGUUGUAAACCGCUUUCGCCUGUGACGAAGCGUGAGUGACGGUAAUGGGUAAAGAAGCACCGGCUAACUACGUG